rnacentral:lncRNA from 1 species
CUGUACAAACCGCUCUGGGCCUAAAGCCUAAAACGAAAACCGGAUGAGGAAGGAACUGACAGCUUGCCCACCGCGUGUACAAACGCCCAGCAUCCUGAGACACGUGUCAAGGCGAGAGUCAGCCAUCUUUCACCGGCACUGCAACGGAGAGGCGACGGACUUCCGCCGUCAGCGGAACUAAAGCCGAUGAAGAAAGAAACUCAGACAGAGCCUUCUUCACGGUUAGCCAAAUCGCUUCCGGAC